AAAUAAUAUACCCGUAUUUUUUGUAUUUUUUUUUCUUCUUGUUUUUGAACACUGACUUGUGCAUAAGCCUUUUUAGUGACGAGCCACACUUUAACAUCCAGAUCACCCUGAACUCAUUUUGUAGUCUUGAGUUCUACACAAUCAACAUAACUGAGAGUGACUCACCGAGGGUAAAGCUACUUAGGACACUGAUGGGGAGCGUCAUGUUAUCCCACGACGCUUCGCUCAGUAAGUCAGAGGCGGCUAGCAGCAAAGUGGCGUUCUCAAUCAGCAUGAACUGAAAAGAGGAAGACAAGGUAAAACCAGGUGUCGUAUAAAAAAAAAAGGACUUUCUCUAAAAUCUCUUCUCACAGUAUAAAAGCUGGCCAUGCGGAAACGCGAGGGUCCGUCUUUGACGUUAAGGAAGAGGAAGACGUGGAUGAACCCCACCAGGCCGUUGAAGGCACGCCAACACCAUGGGCCGGUGCAGAUGUCUAGUUGCUGUGACACCAGCCAGAAGGAGGCAGUCAGCCAGUGAAAACCUGCAGCUUACCUGCCACUCCGAAGACCCACCAGUUGAACACCCUUGCGAAGAACAUGAGACACGUCACCCUGGCACCCAGCAUGCCGGCCCUCCACACCAGCUGGCAAAGCAGGGCCGCCGGGGGCAUGGCAAGGUGGCCCGGACGGAUGAGACGGCAAGCGCGGCUGUACAGCACCAAUGCCCAGGAGACGGACAGCACGCAAAGACCACAGGAGUAGGCCACUGUAAGGGGCAAAAGCGGGUCCGUACCUUUUGAAGAUACCCAAGUGAAGAAUGUGUAUGGUAGACAGGUACCAUCGCCUGUCGUCACCGUCGUCAUAGUACCAUUUGACACUCAACAGCUGCACCGCCGUGCCCGGGAGAAAGAGUCCGAGGGUGAGGCCGGCCCAUCUUGUCUCGUC